rnacentral:ribozyme from 1 species
UGGGAAGGGGACUAUGGGAGAACCUAAAAGGUUUGCUUUCCUCUGCAGUUUCUUCGACACCCGCCUCCCCUGCUUCCAUCUCUUCCUUUUCACAAGAAGCGAGCGCCUUGUAUCAGCUCAUGGACGAUCUCCCCCCCCAAGCAUUUCAAUUGUGGUUGGCCUAUCGCUUGGAGACUCUGAAGGAAUGCAUGAUUGCCUCAGCAGAGGUCUCUGUCGGGUCCCCACUUGAGAACUCAG